AGUUGUAGAAGGGCGUCUGAAAGCAAUUCUCAAGGUGUUGUUUGAUGGAAUUAAGGUCCAAUGAAGGAACGUGUUGAGCACUGGAUGAUCUACACAAGCUGUAAACACUUCAUUGUUGGUAAAACCAUUGUAGCUUCUGCAAGUUUGAGCUGAGGCUGAGAGGCACAAGGAGAAGAGGAUCAAAACAGAGAAGAAGGUUUGGAGUUUCAUUUUCAUGGUGGAUUGAAUGGAUUUGAGGUAAUUGUUUGAGUUUUCUUGUUGAGAUGUUGCUGUGAGAUGAAGGGAUUAUUGUUUGAGGGAGGGAGACGGAAGAAGAAAGUGAGUAUUUA
rnacentral:misc_RNA from 1 species